UCCUAUAGUAUGGUAGAAAAUCAUUAGCCU
rnacentral:piRNA from 1 species